rnacentral:piRNA from 1 species
UCUUUUCGCUCCUCACUUCGCUGCCAC